rnacentral:rRNA from 1 species
CCUACGGGAGGCAGCAGUGAGGAAUAUUGGUCAAUGGGCGCGAGCCUGAACCAGCCAAGCCGCGUGAGGGAGGAAGGUACAGAGGAUUGUAAACCUCUUUUGUCGGGGAGCAAAAGACGGCACGCGUGGCGGGACGAGAGUACCCGAAGAAAAAGCAGCGGCUAACUCCGUGCCAGCAGCCGCGGUAAUACGGAGGAGGCGAGCGUUAUCCGGCUUUAUUGGGUUUAAAGGGUGCGCAGGCGGACUAUCAAGUCAGCGGUCCAAGUGAGCGGCUCAUCCCCGGCGCGCCGUGGAAACUGGGUUUCUUGAGUGGGUGCGCAGUAUGCGUCCUGCGUGGUGUAGCGGU